rnacentral:rRNA from 1 species
UUGUCAGCAGCCGCGGUAAUACGGAGGAUCCAAGCGUUAUCCGGAUUUAUUGGGUUUAAAGGGUGCGUAGGCGGACCUUUAAGUCAGUGGUGAAAGUUUGCGGCUCAACCGUAAAAUUGCCAUUGAAACUGAAGGUCUUGAGUGUAAAUAAGGUAGGCGGAAUGUGUUGUGUAGCGGUGAAAUGCUUAGAUAUAACACAGAACACCAAUUGCGAAGGCAGCUUACUGGGAUACAACUGACGCUGAGGCACGAAAGCGUGGGGAUCAAACAGGAUUAGAUACCCUGGUAGUCCACGCAGUAAACGAUGAAUACUAGCUGUAUGCGAUAUACUGUAUGUGGCAAAGCGAAAGCGUUAAGUAUUCCACCUGGGGAGUACGUUCGCAAGAAUGAAACUCAAAGGAAUUGACGGGGGCCCGCACAAGCGGAGGAACAUGUGGUUUAAUUCGAUGAUACGCGAGGAACCUUACCCGGGCUUGAAAUGCAGACGACCGACCAGGAAACUGGUCUUCCAGUAAUGGCGUCUGUGUAGGUGCUGCAUGGUUGUCGUCAGCUCGUGCCGUGAGGUGUCGGCUUAAGUGCCAUAACGAGCGCAACCCCUAUCGAUAGUUACUAACAGGUUAAGCUGAGGACUCUAUUGAGACUGCCACCGUAAGGUGUGAGGAAGGUGGGGAUGACGUCAAAUCAGCACGGCCCUUACGUCCGGGGCGACACACGUGUUACAAUGGGGGGUACAGAGGGUUGCUACUGCGCGAGCAGAUGCUAAUCUCUUAAAGCCUCUCUCAGUUCGGAUCGGAGUCUGCAACUCGACUCCGUGAAGCUGGAUUCGCUAGUAAUCGCGCAUCAGCCAUGGCGCGGUGAAUACGUUCCCGGGCCUUGUACACACCGCCCGUCAAGCCAUGGAAGCUGGGGGGACCUGAAGUACGUAACCGCAAGGAGCGUCCUAGGGUAAAACUAGUAACUGGGGCUA